rnacentral:lncRNA from 1 species
CCAUUCAACACAACUUUAUUGUUUUCAUAGAACUACAAUUCACUUUAACUGUUGCAUCGCAUAGGAUGUUGCUGUACUGUAAUGCUUGUACAGGAACGUGCAUUAGUUCUAGUAUUACAGAUAAACACUUCACCAAUCUAGGCAGUAUCAACAGAUUGAUUUGGUUCAGAUGAUUUUCUUCUAUGCACUGAGAUAACAUCACGAUGUGUUUACUUGGAUAUUUUAUGUGGUUAGCACAAGUUCAAGUAUACCAAGGUAGACAGCACAAGUUACAGUGAUACCUAUGCAAAUCAUAAUCAUCAACUGAGAUGCUAUUUUAAUUAUAAUUAUUUUCUAGAUUAAAAAAAUACGGGAAAAUAUUUAAAUUUUAAACGAAGGCAUAUUACUGAGGCAGAAUUCAGUUCACUACAGAAGCCAGUACUACAACUAGUACAAUCAAGAGAAAAGGGGGCGGGGGUAGAGUGCACAUUCGAUGAUGAAUGGCGAUUGCAACUUACUGCAGGCACAGCAAAAUGAAAAAGCUGUUUGUUGUAUACAAAAGUGUUCAAUACUGUAGACAAUAUUUAAGACAACAGCUAGUAUUUGUCAUUUUCAGCAACGAUCUAGUUAGUUCGAUAAGUAUUCUAACAGUCAAAAAAACCCACAAAACGGUCACAUGAAAUGAGUAAUUUCCAUAAAAAAAAAAAGUUUAACAGCAUUGCUGAGCUUGUAAAUUUGGCCAACUCUACAAUACUUGAAUUCUUGAACACACACAUACAAAGAAUCUUAGGCGGAGAGAUGAUGAAAUUAUCAUUUUAGUUAUGGUAAUUUCGUUAGAAAAUUAUAAGACUUGAAGACAUUUACAAAAAUCGAACUUUUCAAUUAACCCUCUAAACAAUGUUGUUCACAGAAUACAAGAAAUUUCUAAUACUAAUAAAGAUUAAUUGACUCACAAAUUGAAAAGUUGCAAGUAUUUACUUUUAGAUGAGUCACAUAAGACAGUUCCCAUUGAAAAUUUUGGUACAUUCUGUCUCAAAGAACAUCCAAAUUUAUGAAGAAAUGUCAAUUCAUUGCCUAAAAACUCAAACUCAUGACAGGUGUUUUUGACAUUUUCUCAUCUGUUGGAAGAAUUUCAGCUAGACAUAGAAAAAUUAGUUUCUAUGAUGAGACUCCAACUAUGUUGUCAAAAGACCAAAAGUACUGGAAUUUUAAAGCAAGAGAAUGAUGUUUCCCUCACUCUUUUGUUUCACUGUCUGGUAACUAUUGAAAAUAUUUGUGUUCGGUUUUCUAAAGCAGACUCUAGAAAGAGUCAUGAAUACAGAUGUUAAAAUUCUUCAGUAUGUAUGUGCAAAUGCUAUAAAAUAUUCACUGCCAGGUUAGGGAACUGGUGAAGAAAAUAUUUUUUAGUGAUCUUGUGUUUUUACUAAUGUUCCUUGGUUGAGUUAUAAAAGAAUUUUUACAAAGAUUCCCUGUACUAGAAAUUCCAAUUCAAAAAAAAAAAAUUCCAAUUCAAGGUUUUCUUAAAACAAAGGAAUGCCUGCCAUAUAUUCAAAAACCAAAGACAAAAAGUGGCAGAGCAAGAAUUCUCCUUAACAUAACACUGCAUAUGAAUAUGCUAAUUUUGAAGCUCCUUAGAACAGGAAAAACUUGUACCUACUUAGGUGAAAUACUUUAGUUAAAACAAAUAUUUCAUGAUACAAAUAAAAAAUGACAAUUGUACAUAUUUUUCUAACAUUGGGUCAAUAUACAAAUUUUAAAUGUAAUCAGCAGCAUCUUACAUAAGUUAGCUACAAAAAAUAAAACAAGACAAAUGAAAGUACUGGUUUGUUGAUAUGGAUAAAUUUAGUUUUGUUUCCAUUUUAUGCACUACUUUAUGCCAAAUUUGCUGUUAAUAAUACUGAGAUGAUAUAAGAGUUAGUGAAUUUACUUGAACAAACAGUUUUCUAAAUGAUAUGCUUUUGCUUCAAAAUCAAUUCCUCUAAUAAGAAAGAUGAACUGUUUUGUCAAUGUGGAUGCAAGUAUCAGAGUAAAGUAAUUCCUUUGAAUUACUUUGGUAAUUUGGUCCAGUUACUGGAAAACUUUAAGCAUAUUUAGAAUAACAAGAUAUGUUUGGAAGAACCAUGUGAACCUACUUUUAAACACUAAGUUUUAUAAAUCUAAAUAUGGAUCAAGUAAUUCAGUGUAUGAACUGCUACAACUUUUAUAAAACACACUGGGUUUUGAAGACAAUGCAAAACAUAACAUAAAAUGCCUCAUGAAAUAAUAAUGAUAAUUAUUUCACAAUAAUUUUUACACUGGUUAAAAUAUGUUGAAAUAAUAUUUUGUCUCUCUUGGGUAAAAUAAAAUGUAUUGUUAACUUCAUCUGCUUUGCUUUUUAAAAGUAGCUACUAGAAAAUCUGAAAUUACGUAUGUGGCUCACAGUAUGCUCCUUGGAUAGUGCUGCAGUAAUGAAAACACCUGAACACCUUCCAGUCAGCUUUUUAGAGCCGUCUUCUUAAAACAGAGGUCUCUCAGGUAGCGUCCCUCACAGGUAGCGUCCCUCUCAGGUAGCGCGUACACAUAUGCUCGCACACGCGCUCACAGGUAGCGUCUCAGGUAGCGUCCCUCUCAGGUAGCGUGUGCACACACGCACCCACGCAUGCGCGCUCACAGGUCGUGUCUCAGCGUCCCUCUCAGGUACCGCGUACACAUAUGCUCGCGCACGCGCUCACAGGUAGCGUCCCUCUCUGGCAGCACAUGCACACACGCACGCGUGCUCACAGGCAGCGUCCCUCUCAGGUAGCGCGUGCACACACAACCUCCAGCGGCUCUCCGCCGCCCGGGGAAUCACACACACACACUCGUCAGAAGGGCCGGCCCGGGGGACCCGACCAGCGGCGGGAAGGCGGGCAGCGGACCCCUACCCCCAGGCUUCAGGCUGUGCCCGGGCGCUCCACGAGGGGAGAGGUUUCCCCUCCCGGCAGCACCGACCAGGCCCGGGCCGGGGGGUGGGGGGGGGACUAGCUGCCACCCCCCCGGGACUCGCAGCCCGCCCGCGCUCCACACGCCGGCCUCACGCCCAGCCUGCGCGUCUACAGCGUGGCCCGCCGUCCUGCACCACCAAGCGUUAACGCGGCGGGGGGAGCAUUUGCAAAAACGGAGCGAGGCAGAUCUGGCGUCAUUGUGCUUCAGCUACUGUGCGUGUGGUGUUUUGUUUUUUUUUUUUUCAAACGCACAAGUUGAAGGUUUGUGGCAACCUUGUGUUGGGCAAGUCCGUUGGCAUCAUUUUCCCCAACAGCAUCUGCUCCCUUUAUGGGUCACGUUUUGGGAAUUCUCACAGUAUUUUAAGCUUUUCAGCCACCACGCCACCUGCCACGGUGUCCUGUGAUCUGGGAGCCUUGACGCUACGACUAGCGCUUUGGGGCACCACCAAGAACACUCGUGGAAG